GGAAGAGUGCUGGAGUUUGGUUGAACAGGCAGACCUGGAAAGUCUGUGUACCUGAAAGGUGCCGUGGGUUCAAAUCCCACCUCUUCCG
rnacentral:tRNA from 1 species